CGCGCAGGUGGUUUAUUAAGUCUGGUGUAAAAGGCAGUGGCUCAACCAUUGUAUGCAUUGGAAACUGGUAGACUUGAGUGCAGGAGAGGAGAGUGGAAUUCCAUGUGUAGCGGUGAAAUGCGUAGAUAUAUGGAGGAACACCGGUGGCGAAAGCGGCUCUCUGGCCUGUAACUGACACUGAGGCUCGAAAGGCGUGGGAGCAAACA
rnacentral:rRNA from 1 species